rnacentral:rRNA from 1 species
CGGGUACAACGAGUCGCAAGACCGCGAGGUUUAGCAAAUCUCUUAAAGCCGUUCUCAGUUCGGAUUGUAGGCUGCAACUCGCCUACAUGAAGUCGGAAUCGCUAGUAAUCGCGGAUCAGCAUGCCGCGGUGAAUACGUUCCCGGGCCUUGUACACACCGCCCGUCACACCAUGGGAGCCGGUAAUACCCGAAGUCAGUAGUCCAACCUCGUGAGGACGCUGCCGAAGGUAGGAUUGGCGACUGGGGUGAAGUCGUAACAAGGUAAC